AAGGCGAAAUGAAAGUGAAGGCCCGCCCCGCGCGGGCCGAGGGAGGAUGGGCCGCGUCACGACGCGGCCCCGCACUCCCGGGGCGUCUCGUUCUCAUUGCGAGAAGAGGCGCACCCAGAGCGUACACGCUGGGACCCGAAAGAUGGUGAACUAUGCCUGGUCAGGACGAAGUCAGGGGAAACCCUGAUGGAGGUCCGUAGCGAUUCUGACGUGCAAAUCGAUCGUCGGAACUGGGUAUAGGGGCGAAAGACUAAUCGAACCAUCUAGUAGCUGGUUCCCUCCGAAGUUUCCCUCAGGAUAGCUGGCGCUCGCUUUUGCGAGUCUCAUCCGGUAAAGCGAAUGAUUAGAGGCAUUGGGGUCGAAACGGCCUCAACCUAUUCUCAAACUUUAAAUGGGUGAGAUCUCCGGCUUGCUCAAACUUGAAGCCGCGAGAUUAACUUAAUAUAAGGAUCAGAGUGCCAAGUGGGCCACUUUUGGUAAGCAGAACUGGCGCUGUGGGAUGAACCAAACGCAGAGUUAAAGCGCCAAAAUCGACGCUUAUGGGAUACCAUGAAAGGCGUU
rnacentral:rRNA from 1 species